rnacentral:rRNA from 1 species
GAUGAACGCUGGCGGCGUGCCUAAUACAUGCCAGUCGAGCGAACAGACGAGGAGCUUGCUCCUCUGACGUUAGCGGCGGACGGGUGAGUAACACGUGGAUAACCUACCUAUAAGACUGGGAUAACUUCGGGAAACCGGAGCUAAUACCGGAUAAUAUAUUGAACCGCAUGGUUCAAUAGUGAAAGACGGUUUUGCUGUCACUUAUAGAUGGAUCCGCACCGCAUUAGCUAGUUGGUAAGGUAACGGCUUACCAAGGCAACGAUGCGUAGCCGACCUGAGAGGGUGAUCGGCCACACUGGAACUGAGACACGGUCCAGACUCCUACGGGAGGCAGCAGUAGGGAAUCUUCCGCAAUGGGCGAAAGCCUGACGGAGCAACGCCGCGUGAGUGAUGAAGGUCUUCGGAUCGUAAAACUCUGUUAUUAGGGAAGAACAAAUGUGUAAGUAACUAUGCACGUCUUGACGGUACCUAAUCAGAAAGCCACGGCUAACUACGUG